CUCACCUGUUGCCGCGCGUUGUGUCACCGGAGGAGACGCGCAGCUUCCGCUCCCUCGAAUACAUGUUUCAUAAAACAGUUAAACUCGAGAGCAAACGCCUCAGACACCUUUGAAGGACCGUUAUGAAGACGGAAUAACCGCGUCUGCGCGCCGCCGGCUCCCGUAUUUUCCCUCCGCCCGUUGGUCGUUAGCAUGAGCUAGCUAGUAGCAUCGCUGCUACCGGACACCAUGUUGAAGCGGACACCUGGAGCUCAACUGCGUCACUUCAUCAAGAUAAGUACUUUUUUUUGUGGGUGUCCAUUUAUUAUUUUAAUGGAGCCCGGCCAAAUUAAGUUAAUUUGAGAUGAUCAAGUAUUUAACGUUAUAUAAUUGUAGAUCAAUUUGUUACUUUCGGAGUGAUGUGGAGAAGCUGCAUACAGUAGUUCUAUACACCUGUCAAUCAAAGUAAGCCCCGCCCUAAAGCAUCCACCGCGUCAUGGUCUGUUUGAGCGAAGUAGUCAUUUUCUCAUAGACUCUCAUGGGACAAAAGGAGUCGCCCCCUGCUGGUCGCUACAGAGAAUGCAAGUUGAGAUACAAAGGCUUCUCUCCGGAAGCUCUGUUAUGUUCUUCAUUCUCUACACAUCUAUUUCACUUCUGUCCAUCCUCGUAGAGCGAUCCCUCCUCCGUUCUCCUAAAGGUUUCUUCUUUUUUGUGUCUCCCUGUUCUUGUUUUCUUGUAGAGCUCCUCUUAAAACAGGCCGUCACGGCGGAGCAGGGGAUAAACACACAGUUGAAUCUACACAGAUGUUUUCCACUGUGGUCCUUUCUGUCGGGAGGAUGUUGACUGUUGUUUGGAUCGGGCCGUUCCGUCAGUGUUAUUUUUAGAUAAAUUGUGCGUCCAUUGCUGGCUUUUGUUUCUUGUAUUACGGUAUGAGUUGCACCUGCAUUGAUGCAUAAGGUGGAAAUAUUUUGUAAAAUGUAGUUUUAGCACCUAAAAUUCCUCCUCUGUACGAGGAGAUCACUGAACUUCUGGCUGAAAAUCUACACUUGUCCUUCUGUUUCCGGUCAGGUCACACUGAGAAUAUGCUAACCAUGCACUAUGAUCUCCAGAAAUACCCCAAAAUGUUUGGAGAAACAUUACUUUUUUAAUACACCUCAUUUACAAUUCCUUCUUAUAUUGAAUAGGAACUGAAAAGUAGUUUCCCACCAAAACGGUGCUUCAUGAAACCCAUUUCCAUUCCUCAUUAAACAUUUACAAGCCAUUUUACAUCUCAGCGUCCGUCUGUUUGUUUAGUGCACACAGGGUAUCCUCAACAAUACUUUCAGUCUUCGCUUGCCAGAAUUAGUUGUUUCCCCUGAUAAACUGCUCAGUUUUAUGAUCUUCUUAGUGAUUCAGGUCAAGCAGGCAACGCUCUACUCGGUCAUACUAACAGCUGAGGUCUGAUGAUGUCACCGUGUUGAAUACACGAUGCGAGCGGCUCGUCUCACUCCUCAGAUAUGUGGCUGUUUGAAAGAUUGUGGCUGGAGACUGACGUUAAAGUUAAUGAGGCGCAUUCAUUUAAAGUGAGGUGCUGUGCAGGAAGGAGCGCAGUCGAGCUAUUUUAGGGGAGGAUGGUGGAUGACGUGUUGAGUUUUCGUCUGCCUUUUUAUAUUCAUGGUGCCCACGGGAUGAAUCCGAAUACUCUUUGUCAUCACAUUUUAUCCAGAGGCGGCAGCAGGGGGGGACGUUUGCCAAUUUUCUGUUGCAAUGGAACGUACCUUUAAAGCUGCAUCCUCUCUGCUGCCAACCGCUGUAUGCUAACACGGGGAAACUACGACGCUGAACAUUAAAGCUGAAACGCACCAGCAUGUCAGCAUGCCUCUUGUUAGCACAUCAGCAUGCCUCUUGUUAGCACGUUAGCAUGCCUCUUGGUAGCACGCCUCUUGUUAGCACGUUAGCAUGCCUCUUGGUAGCAUGGUUGUAGACGCUUCAGUCUUGUUUUUUCUCACAAUUGCAUGCACUUUUGAAAUAAGACUCCACUGCCCUUGUUGACAGUAUUAACUGUCCUCUGUAUUCUAAACAUUUACUUGUGCUGUCAUGGCUGAUGUAUCCCCCCCCUUUCGAGAUCGAGAUGUAUCUUCAUAGCGGCGAUGGUGAUGGCAUGCCUGGUCUCGACGGUUUGUUGGCGGUUAGUCAAAGCGGAUUAGAAGGAACACCUGCAGUUCCUCUGUUUAUUUAGUCGUCAUACUUUCGAACGUCCUACUCCAAGACCUCGUCUUUAAAUCACGGGACAGCCUGUAGCUGCCAGGAAGCCCUGAGAAACCGCCUCGCAGUCGGGUUACUGCAGACCCCACUGCACAUCUACGUGUCUGUGGAGGCCCAGCAACUACAGCAGCUGAGUCAACAAACACAAAACCAAGUCAAAUGGUGAUAUGUUGGGAGUUCACAGUGUAACCGUUCCGCCUGGAUUUUCCAUUUCCGUCUUCUGGAUGAGCUUCAGGUGGGGGAUCCGCGGCUGGUGUUUAGUGGCAUGAAUCCAGGCAAAGAAAAAACGCCCGGGCUGCUAUUUGCGUAUGUGUGAAAAUGAGGGAUCAUUCGCGUGAGAGUCAAGCCACGAACAACAGCGUCCCACACUACCAAAGUGUGGGUGGCUUCAUCCUCGGCAGGUGCCAAGAACGCGCUCAGGGACGCGCUCGCUUUGGGUUUUUCAAACACGGGGAUGCAGGCCGGGUUUAAUCCCUUUAAACGGACUUGCUUUAUGUUCUGUUGGGGGCCGAUUGACCCUCAGUGGCGGAGUCGAUGCACAUGGACACUCUUCUCAAAGGUUAGAAGGCCACAUUAAUCCAAUUAUGCUUUAACUUUCAAUACUUGAAGGAAUUAUAUUUUGACGAGUGGGCUGCUUAUAAUACAAUCACAGAUCAUCAAGAGCGCUCUGAUGACGGUUUAUAUAUAUAUGUGUGUUUGUAUCACGUUCUAGCUUAUUGCCCCACAUCGGCCGACUGAACACUGGUUAGCAUUGAAAUGAGGUCACUCCCCGGGGUCUUGUCAAUACGUAAUUAAAAAGGCAGGACACAGUCACGCCUCUGUGGAGCUCUGCACCUCGUGAACCUCUGUGUGGCCCGACAGGAGGCCUCUGUAGGAGAGGUAAUCUUGUCUGAAGACUCCACACAUGGGUCCCUUCACCAGUCCAAGAUGUUCAGAUAAUCUUUCUUUAGACCAUCAAAUCUAAAAAGUAAAAAGUAUAAAAGCUUUAGAUCGCAUUUGUAUUGUGCCACUUUUUUCUAAAUGAAAACUGAGAUGUUGUAAUAUUAUUAAUCAAAGUAAAUAUUAGUAGAGACCCAAAUGCCAAGUAAAUGCUGUUGGUCAUCACAGCUAAAUUACCAGUGUGGUUUAAUUUAGGCUCGGCUAAGCCCCGCCCCCAUCUGCUACUCAUUUGCUUAAAAAGUCAAAUCCUUUUUGUUUUCCAGAACUAGCAGCUAUAUCAAAUAAACCAAACUCCAUUUGGGAAAACCCCCCUUCUUUUAAAGGUGUUGCAAAACAUACGGAAAAAACUCAGCUGAUGAUUAUUUUGAACUGUUUAAGAGGAACAACCUGCGAAUAGAUCAUGACCUUCACAUCAGCAGUUCUUUUAAAGCUCACGGGGAGUUUAUUUUAUUGUAACUCACAUGUUACUUAAUCAGUCACAUUAUCUCUCAGUAGCCGUCUGCCUCUGGAGCAAGAAAAGCUUCUCGGAUCGGGUUUGUUUUAUUUGUGUCCUUGGAUAUGGCUUAUAGCUGAUCUAUAAAACACCAGGAGUAACUGUGGUAAUCCAUCAGAAUUGGCUCACUGUCGUCCUGCAGCGAUGAUGUAAUCUCAUCAACCUUCCUUAAAAGUCUGCUGACCCGUCUGUCUUCGUCUACUCUGUUGUCUCUGUCCGGUCCCACGUUAUAAAUCACAGGCGUUUGAUUUCAGUGCCAAAGUACACGUCUGCAAUGCGAUGCCAAUGAAUUGUGCACGUGGGAUUAGAAUAAACUGACGGCCAUCGCAAACGGCUCCGCGUCAUCUGGUACAGUUCGUUAAUCUCUUCCAAAGCGUGCAGAUUUAUUGUUGUAAGAGUAAGAACUCCUGUCAGCACUGGUACGGAUUGUCUUAUUGUAAAUGUGGGUCACGAUUUCAAAUUAGCGUUUUUCCUUUUGUCCAAUUUACAAUCAAAUGACUUUAAUUUACGAAGGUGCUAAGCAGAGAAAAGCGUUUGUCAGCUCUUUGUCUGAGCCUCGAUAAACAUCUGCAAUUAGUGCUGAUUAGCAGAUGACUCUGAUCGUUCUAGGCCUCCGUGGUAUUCGCUGCGGUGAUGGAGGAGUCAUUGACGUCUGUAGUGGGCGUUGUGACUCAUGCACAGGGAAAAGCAGUUAAAUCUCUCCCCUUUUGGGAGAUUGAGUCUACUGCGGGUACUCCUGAGGUAACACUUUACACCCUCACAGAGGAACCGGUGACACAAGAUUUACUCCAAAUGACCCCCGAGGUGGAGUAACACGCAUCAUUGCACAGGAGAGGAGGAUUCUCACUGUGGGUCCCGGUAGUUUCAUAACUGGCAAACAAGCCGAGGAUCUCAGACGCUGUGUUGUUGUUGUUGUUUUUGACUCUUCGAACCAGAAACACAAAUCUGAGGGGCCAAAGGUCGACUUUCCAAGAAUUCCCUCGUCUCGUCCUCAAGGAAGUCGGAGGUGUCAGCUGUAGCGCUCGCCCGCUGACCGUGAUCACGCGAUGUCUUUGACGUUAAUUUUAUAGUGGCGUCUCUUCAGAGCGUCGGUCGGCUCACGGAGACGUCCGAUAAAAGAAGACGUGUAGUAAAACUUCCCUCCCGGUGCCGGACGGAGGCGGCGGCGAGCCGCUGCGCGCAGUGGAGCACGCCAGCUCUAAUUCGUCUCCGUCUGGAAGCACUGACCUCUUUUGUUCGCUUGAUGGCUUAUUACCGGUAUUGAUUUUGGCUCCUUUUGUAUUUUUCCCUGCGGGGAAGGCAAAUGACCCGCGCACGUAUCGGCCAACGAACGCCACACAUUUAACGGCGCUUUGCAUGACACCAAUUGUUUUAGUGUUCAGUAUCGGUGGGCACUGGGACGCGGUGGCGCUGGAUGGCGUGCGGUGAUGCUCCGGGAUGUAACGGUAACCUGCGUGCAGGAGGACGCUUCUCGAGGACUUGAUUUCGUUCGCUCCACUUGAACCGGUGGACAAAACGUCUUUUUAUAGACUGCGCUCACCUUCUCCUGCAGAGGGAGGGCAGUUCAACAAACGCAAGCGGACGCUAAAUGCAACGCAGGAAGCACGAGGAUGUAGAUUCCUUCUGGUAGUUAAUGCCAACAUCAACUGUUCUUCCAUCGGGGUCAAAAAAUGAUUUUUUUCAAAUACUUUGGUUGAAGGCAAAAUACCUGCAAAAAUAAUUGACAUUCCCACCAGCUUCAUCUGUAUUUAAUGACGGCAGCAGUUAUCCUGCAUUACCUUUUUAUCACUGCCGGUUAGUAAUUGUUGCAGAAAUAGUACAUCAAUACAGCCUCCAUCACCUGUGAAAUGACUCCAUCCAUCACGCUGCAGCCUCAGCGGCUCGCCACAGUCUGCUUUGAUCAAAGUGUAUUUAACAAGUUCUGAGGGGCAUUAUAUACAUUUUAAUAUUUUGUACUACGUCUGAAACCCAAAUAUUUACUUUAGAAGUGAUAUUGAAAAAGAAAAGCAGAAAUUCAGCCAUGUGAGCGGCUUCAUAACAGCAGGUUUUGUACGUCUAAUACUCUGGAACAGCUUGAUAGAAGGCCGGCGUGGAGGGGAAGAGUGAACACGGAUCACUCCAAAGUGAAAUAAGAAAUGUUUAUUCCAUCCUUCUAAAUGACGGCAGUUUGAUAUUUGCUGGGUUUUGGAGUUUUGAUUACAUUCCAUUUGAUUUCCAGCAAUGAUUCCGAUGAAUGGACCCUUGGCACUGUGGUGUUUGGACAUGUUUAUCCAGUAGUUUGACUUGAACUAAUGUUCCCGGUAGCCCGAUGAGCGCGUCCUCUCCUCUUGUUUGGAUCACGAAGCAGCUGCUUGAGCUCCGUGGAUUCCUCUCCCGAUUCCUCUCAACGUCUGGCGACGGGAAGGAUCGGAGGCGUCUGGCCGCCGCUUGUUUUGUGCAUGAAUCCGCUCUUCAAGAGACGCGAUGCUCGCGUAACCAAAAAAAAAGAUUUAACAAACAGACAUCUUAUGCUAAUUAUCUGGACUGAUUUGCAUAACACAUUUGCUAACUUGUUGGAGUUGUUUGGAGCGUUUUCAGACGGAUUAGUGGAGGUUGUAGCCAAGACGCUGAUGUUCCAACUGGUGUAGAGCAGGGAGCACCGUUCCAUCUCGCAGUCAACGAGCCGCUCAUCUGUCCGUCACGACCUUUCCACACGUUCUUGGUCAUCAUCACCCAGGGUUGCUUUUGAAUGGAAUUAAAUGCGUCCGUUAGUAAGCAAGGAUCGCUAAUUAGCAAGUAUUUAGGUAUUUUGUCUAGUUUCCACAUUAAGAAUUACUUAGAAAUAUUGAAUUAUUGUUAAUAACUUGUGCUUUUGCCUUUUUUGUGGAGCUCACAAACAUUCUUUGUAGAAAAUACGAGGACCGAGCCUCACUAGAGGGACGAACCUUUGGAUGGGGUUGCCAUGGAAACGCACCUAAUUUUCUUUUCACCCCGUUUUCCAAAUUGGUCCGAAACAGUCCUGUAAAUAACAUGACCUCAUGUGGUAAAUAUUUGGUUGGGCCUUGUGUGCAUUCGUUAUCGUUUCCUACCACGUUUUAUACAAAUAGAAUCACGAGCAAAAUAUGUUAGCUUCCCCUCGGAUGCGUGCUCACGAUCGGCAACACGGCUCCUACUUUUUUGCUUUUUGUUCAGGGAUCAAGUCAACGGGUCGAAUCUCAGAUACAAACCAAUUCUUUUUACGGGGCUACAAAGCGUCUUUUUAAUACUGUAACUUUUAACGGGUCAGAUUAAAAAACCCAAAGCUUUAUAUAAGAUAGAACUUCUAAUAAAGUCUGACACGCUGUGGUUCCUCAGUCCAGCUUUAGAUCAAUAAUGAGAUAAAGAGAUUCAAUAUGGGGUUUAGUAUUGAAGUAGUACCGGGGUUUAGUCACACGUUUUUAACAUUUCCAGAGGUUUUUAUUAUUAGUUUCUAAAACUACGUCGCUUCGUGCUCCCACACAUUUUCCACUUGUCCUCGUCCGGCCCGAGACCGCAGAGUUCCUGCAGCUGUGUGCAUGGAGGCUCUGAGUAGCUGCUAACUAGGGCCAGACCGGGGAGCCUCUGAAGGCCAGCCAUGGCCCACAGUGAGAGGGG
ensembl:lncRNA